rnacentral:lncRNA from 1 species
AAAUUUGUUGAAUAAUUAGUUAUGAUCAUAAGAUACAUAAUAUCACAUAGAAUAUUAAUCUAUUAGAUAUUCUAUUAUAUUAAAUAUUUAAUAAUAUAAAAAAAUAUAUUAAAUACAUAUAUAAAAUAUCAAUUUACCAACAAAUGAACUAUACCAUUUGAUCCCUCGCUUAGUCAAAAUUGUAAUAAAAUGCACCAUGGAGGGAUUUGACAUGAAUCAAUUGAUUCGGUAAAUC